rnacentral:rRNA from 1 species
UACGAAGGGGGCUAGCGUUGUUCGGAAUUACUGGGCGUAAAGCGCGCGUAGGCGGUUAUUUAAGUCAGGGGUGAAAUCCCGGGGCUCAACCCCGGAACUGCCUUUGAUACUGGAUAUCUGGAGUUCGGGAGAGGUGAGUGGAAUUCCGAGUGUAGAGGUGAAAUUCGUAGAUAUUCGGAGGAACACCAGUGGCGAAGGCGGCUCACUGGCCCGAUACUGACGCUGAGGCGCGAAAGCGUGGGGAGCAAACAGG